UACGUAGGGUGCAAGCGUUAAUCGGAAUUACUGGGCGUAAAGCGUGCGCAGGCGGUUUUGUAAGUCUGUCGUGAAAGCCCCGGGCUCAACCUGGGAAUUGCGAUGGAGACUGCAAGGCUUGAAUCUGGCAGAGGGGGGUAGAAUUCCACGUGUAGCAGUGAAAUGCGUAGAGAUGUGGAGGAACACCGAUGGCGAAGGCAGCCCCUGGGUCGAAGAUUGACGCCUCAUGCACGAAGACGUGGGGAGCAAACAGG
rnacentral:rRNA from 1 species